rnacentral:rRNA from 1 species
AGAUUGAACGCUGGCGGCAGGCCUAACACAUGCAAGUCGAGCGGUAGAGAGGUGCUUGCACCUCUUGAGAGCGGCGGACGGGUGAGUAAUGCCUAGGAAUCUGCCUAGUGGUGGGGGAUAACGUUCGGAAACGGACGCUAAUACCGCAUACGUCCUACGGGAGAAAGCGGGGGACCUUCGGGCCUCGCGCCAUUAGAUGAGCCUAGGUCGGAUUAGCUAGUUGGUGAGGUAAUGGCUCACCAAGGCGACGAUCCGUAACUGGUCUGAGAGGAUGAUCAGUCACACUGGAACUGAGACACGGUCCAGACUCUACGGGAGCAGCAGUGGGAAUAUUGGACAAUGGGCAAAGCCUGAUCCAGCCAUGCCGCGUGUGUGAAGAAGGUCUUCGGAUUGUAAAGCACUUUAAGUGGAGAAGGUUGUAACUUAAUACGUUGACAACUUUGACGUUACCGACAGAAUAAGCACCGGCUAACUUCGCGCCAGCAGCCG